UACAGAGGUCCCAAGCGUUGUUCGGAUUCAUUGGGCGUAAAGGGUGCGUAGGCGGCGCGGUAAGUCGGGUGUGAAAUCUCGGAGCUUAACUCCGAAACUGCAUUCGAUACUGCCGUGCUUGAGGACUGGAGAGGAGACUGGAAUUUACGGUGUAGCGGUGAAAUGCGUAGAUAUCGUAAGGAAGACCAGCGGCGAAGGCGGGUCUCUGGACAGUUCCUGACGUGAGGCACGAAGGCCAGGGGAGCAAACGGG
rnacentral:rRNA from 1 species